rnacentral:rRNA from 1 species
CCCUUAGAUGUCCUGGGCCGCACGCGUGCUACACUGACGCCUACAGCGAGUACUUCCCAGCCCCGAGAGGUGGCUGGUAAUCAGCAAUAGGCGUCGUGAUGGGGAUAGAUCUUUGGAAUUAUGGAUCUUGAACGAGGAAUGCCUAGUAAGCGCAGGUCAUUAGCCUGCGCUGAUUAAGUCCCUGCCCUUUGUACACACCGCCCGUCGCUCCUACCGAUUUCGAGUGGUCCGGUGAAUCUUUCGGACUGCGCGCGGCCUCGUGCCGGGUCGCGGAAAGUCAGGUAAACCUUAUCACUUAGAGGAAGGAGAAGUCGUAACA